UUUCCAAGCGGCAAACUCUGGAGAAGGGUCUAGCUGCGGCCGCGGCCAGUACACGAUGGUACACGACACGCCCACCUGACACGACACUACGGUGGCUGAGAAGGGUCUAGCUGCGGCCGCGAAAAGUUGUACUUCCAAAUAUGGUCAGAAGAGAGCACGCCCAACACGUGAGGUUUAGAGACAACAAACAACAUGGCGCACCGAGUACAGACAAACAACACAACACUACGUGAUGGAGCACGCCCAGAGCUCAACAAAUUGGACUCGGACACCUUCCAGUGUCCAUUUUGUGAAAGGACCGGGUCACACCCAGCCGUCACGUGUACAUUAUGUCUUGCAUGUGCUAAUAAAAUUCUCAUUACAGUAUGCCUGGUAUUUUGCCAUGGAGGCCAGCUUUGACUUCAGCAUUCAUGACAUGUCUCUCCUGAGAAGGUGGUGUGUUAUCCUGGUGGAAAACUUUGGACUGGAAGGGUAUGCUGCAGUGCUACAAAAACAUUUGAAUUUGUAAUUGUAUUAUCAAGAAGAUUUGGGGGGAACACCUGGCUCUAAAAUUCAACCUUCUGGUGAAGAAAAUGUGUCUUAAUUGCAGGUAUGGAAAGAGGUUUGCUCACUAUAGUGAGGAAGGCAGGGCGACCCUUAGCGACAAUGUCCCACGUACAUUCAG